UCCGGGAUGGAAGAUGGCGAGAAAAGCUGUGUGUAUUUCUGCGGUGCCCGUACCGCAAACCGACACAGGUAGGUAGGAAGAAGAUUCUAAGGCCAACGGGAGAAGGGUUGUUAAGGAACUCGGCAAAUUGACCCCGUAACUUCGGAAUAAGGGGUGCUCACGAGAGUGAGCCGCAGAGAAUAGGCCCAGGCAACUGUUUACCAAAAACACAGGUUUGUGCUAAAUCGAAAGAUGACGUAUACGAGCUGACGCCUGCCCGGUGCUGGAAGGUUAAAAGGAGAUGUGCAAGCAUUGAAUUGAAGCCCCAGUGAACGGCGGCCGUAACUAUAACGGUCCUAAGGUAGCGAAAUUCCUUGUCAGGUAAGUUCUGACCCGCAUGAAAGGCGUAAUGAUCUGGGCACUGUCUCAACAGCCCGCCCGGCGAAAUUGUAGUACCGGUGAAGAUGCCGGUUACCCGCGACAAGACGGAAAGACCCCAUGGAGCUUUACUGUAGCCUGAUAUUGGGUUUCGGUGUUGCAUGCACAGGAUAGAUGGGACACUGGGAAGCGGAUGCUUUGGCGUUCGUGGAGUGGACGUUGGGAUACCAUCCUUGCGACAUUGGAAUUCUAACCUGCGCCUCUGAAUCGAGGCGGGGGACAUUGUCAGGUGGGCAGUUUGACUGGGGCGGUCGCCUCCUAAAAAGUAGCGGAGGCGUUCAAAGGUUCGUUCGAUCUGGACGGAAACCAGAUGAUUGAGUGCAAACGCAUAAACGAGCCUGACUGCGAGACUGACGGGUCGAGCAGAGACGAAAGUCGGAGUUAGUGAUCCGGUGGUAUGUGAGUGGAAAUGCCAUCGCUCAACGGAUAAAAGUUACCCUGGGGAUAACAGGCUGAUCUCCCCCAAGAGUCCACAUCGACGGGGAGGUUUGGCACCUCGAUGUCGGCUCAUCGCAUCCUGGGGCUGAAUUCGGUCCCAAGGGUUUGGCUGUUCGCCAAUUAAAGCGGUACGCGAGCUGGGUUCAGAACGUCGUGAGACAGUUCGGUCCCUAUCUGUCGUGGGCGCAGGAUAUUUGAAAGGCGCUGUCCCUAGUACGAGAGGACCGGGAUGGACGAACCUCUGGUGCACCAGUUGUCACGCCAGUGGCACAGCUGGGCAGCUAUGUUCGGAUCGGAUAAACGCUGAAAGCAUCUAAGCGUGAAGCCGGCCUUAAGAUAAGAUAUCCCACUGAGUCAAUCAGGUAAGACCCCUUGAAGACUACAAGGUUGAUAGGCACACAGUGUAAGCGGAGUGAUUCGUUCAGCUAGCGUGUACUAAUAGGU
rnacentral:rRNA from 1 species